GUGGGGAAUAUUGCACAAUGGGGGAAACCCUGAUGCAGCGACGCCGCGUGGAGGAUGACGGCCUUCGGGUUGUAAACUCCUUUUGUCAGGGACAAUGGUGAUGGUACCUGACGAAUAAGCCACGGCUAACUCUGUGCCAGCAGCCGCGGUAAGACAGAGGUGGCGAGCGUUGUUCGGAAUUACUGGGCUUAAAGGGCGCGUAGGCGGUGGUGUAAGUCUGGGGUGGAAUGCUACAGCUCAACUGUAGAGCUGACUUGGAAACUGCAUUACUUGAGUCGGUGAGGGGAAGGCGGAAUUCCUGGUGUAGCGGUGAAAUGCGUAGAUAUCAGGAGGAAGGUCUGUGGCGAAGGCGGCCUUCUGGCACUUGACUGACGCUGAGGCGCGAAAGCGUGGGGAGCAAACAGGAUUAGAAACCCUAGUAGUCC
rnacentral:rRNA from 1 species